GAUGAACGCUGGCGGCGUGCCUAACACAUGCAAGUCGAGCGGAGAUAUAAUUGUGCUUGCACAAAUAUAUUUUAGCGGCGGACGGGUGAGUAACGCGUGGGUAACCUGCCCCAGACAAAGGAAUAACAAUGAGAAAUCAUUGCUAAAACCUUAUAAGCUCACACUAAGGCAUCUUAGAGUGAGAAAAUAUUUAUAGGUCUGGGAGGGGCCCGCGGCUGAUUAGCUAGUUGGUAGGGUAACGGCCUACCAAGGCGACGAUCAGUAGCCGACCUGAGAGGGUGAUCGGCCACAUUGGGACUGAGACACGGCCCAAACUCCUACGGGAGGCAGCAGUGGGGAAUAUUGCACAAUGGGCGCAAGCCUGAUGCAGCAACGCCGCGUGAAGGACGAAGGGUUUCGGCUCGUAAACUUCUUUAGGCAGGGAAGAAAAAGAUGACGGUACCUGCAGAAUAAGCCCCGGCUAACUACGUGCCAGCAGCCGCGGUAAAAC
rnacentral:rRNA from 1 species